rnacentral:rRNA from 1 species
UGCAAGUCGAACGAGAUCUUCGGAUCUAGUGGCAGACGGGUGAGUAACGCGUGGGAACCUGCCCAGUAGUAGAGGACAACUUGGGGAAACUUAAGCUAAUACUUUAUACGUCCUUCGGGAGAAAGCUUUAUGCGCUAUUGGAUGGGCCCGCGUUAGAUUAGUUUGUUGGUGAGGUAAUGGCUCACCAAGACUACGAUCUAUAGCUGGUCUGAGAGGAUGAUCAGCCACACUGGGACUGAGACACGGCCCAGACUCCUACGGGAGGCAGCAGUGGGGAAUAUUGGACAAUGGGGGCAACCCUGAUCCAGCGAUGCCGCGUGAGUGAUGAAGGCCCUAGGGUUGUAAAACUCUUUCGUCAGGGAAGGUAAUGACGGUACCUGAAGAAGAAGAUCCGGCUAACUCCGUGCCAGCAGCCGCGGUAAUACGGAGGGAUCUAGCGUUAUUCGGAAUUACUGGGCGUAAAGCGAGCGUAGGCGGAUUUGUAAGUUGGAGGUGAAAUCCCAGAGCUUAACUCUGGAACUGCCUUCAAAACUACGUUUCUUGAGUUUGGUAGAGGAGAGUGGAAUUCCUAGUGUAGAGGUGAAAUUCGUAGAUAUUAGGAGGAACACCAGUGGCGAAGGCGACUCUCUGGGCCAAUACUGACGCUGAGGUUUGAAAGCAUGGGUAGCGAACAGGAUUAGAUACCCUGGUAGUCCAUGCAGUAAACGAUGAGUGCUAGAUGUUGGGAAUUUAAAUUUCCAGUAUCGCAGUUAACGCGUUAAGCACUCCGCCUGGGAAGUAC